GGCGGCGGUAACAGUUUUUACCAAUGGAAAACCGACACAAAAGAUGUACCAUACUUUUGGCACUUUAUGGAAGUACCGAAAGUACGGUACCUGGUACGGUGGAAAAAGCCCAAAGACACAUCCAGUCUUACCCCGGCAUUACACAAUAAUCUGGAUAUCAGUGUAUUUUUAUCAAUCCUGCUGUCUGUAGCUGCUUAUUGUACGAGUAACGGAGAAUUACAGGAUCUAAAAACAUUUAUUUAAUGUCUUUUACAAUUAAAUGAGCAGCUUUUUAGUCUCUAAUCAGAAAACAAUUAGUUGUUCUCUGAUAAAGGUGCACUCUAUUUGUGUUCGCAAAGAGCAUUUCAUUCUAUAUCUCUGAAGCGCAGAAAUAUGUCCUGUUCCGCCCGACUCUCUCUCUCACUCGCGCCCGGCCUCAUUUGAUGCUUGGGCCCAGGCACCAGAAACCCAGCCAACCACAGGAAGCCGUUUCUAAUAAAUCACUACGGCCUGACAACUUUUAGGGUUUGGAAAAAACGCCUUUCCUCCUCGUAAUAUUAGAGGCUGCCUGCCGCGGAAAGCAGAAAGGUGGACGAAUAUCGGACAAGGAAUAGACGUAGUAAUUUAUGAAAGUAGCUAAAAAUUUAGUAGAGUGAGUGUGCAGAUUUAUGUGCUGCUUAUUGUACUUCCUAUUGCUGGUGUGUGGAUGGCAGCACUGCGUGGAUCAGGAGCCCUGCACUUCGGCGGAGAGGAAAGUCAACGACCUCCUGUAUAAUUCCACCCAUAAUGGAAAGAAUGGAGGACCUUGGGGACCAAACUGGCUGGAGACUGGGUGUCUGGGACAAAGAGCAGAGGCGUCUUCAUCACCUAUCAUCAAUGUCAUCCUUGGAUGACUGUUCCAAGAUCCGCUCUAGCAGAGUUGCAAGGAAAAGAUUUCGAUGGCAAUUCAAUUUUCCUUUUAUUUUCCCAUUUUUAAAAAUAUAUUUCACUUUUCUUCUUUUUGAAUAGUAUACUCACCAGCCCACAGUGUGGGGAGAAUUACAGCCCUAUUUUGCUUUACUGAGCAACAUUGUUCAAACGUUUCACGGGAAAAUAGUAUAAAUAACAUGCAAUUUAUAUCAGAAUCGUUUCAAAAGUGUGACUGAUUAAAUGUGAAGUUGCUCAGAAAUCAUGUGGCUUUUGAAAGUACAUUACUAAAUAUUAACUGACUGGUAUAAAUCAAGGUUAAAUAUAUUUUUAUGACCCACUUUUGAAAUACUUUUCCCUUAUUUUAUUAAAUAAGGUCUUGAGCUGAAGUGAUCGUCUAUCCAUGUUCUCACAAAGUAUUGUCUUUGAGAGAGUUGUAGAUGUGCUUUCUACCCAAAUUAUAAAUAAAUAUAUUUCUAGCAAUUUACAA